UACGUAGGGUGCAGGCGUUAAUCGGAAUUACUGGGCGUGAAGCGUGCGCAGGCGGCUUCUCAAGUCAGAUGUGAAAUCCCCGGGCUUAACCUGGGAACUGCGUUUGAAACUGGGAGGCUAGAGUGCGGCAGAGGGGGGUGGAAUUCCACGUGUAGCAGUGAAAUGCGUAGAUAUGUGGAGGAACACCGAUGGCGAAGGCAGCCCCCUGGGCCUGCACUGACGCUCAUGCACGAAAGCGUGGGGAGCAAACAGG
rnacentral:rRNA from 1 species